ACAAGAAUCCAUUCCUGAAAAUGUGAAUGGUUCUGUUGGUUUCAAACAGCCAUCAAGAAAACUAAGGGGUUGUUUUGGUGUCUUAAAAUUCUUGUCUGAGUCUCAGUGGCUGAGACAGCAGCCCCAAAAUCAUACAGAAGUGAAACCCAAACAUUGCCUUCCUCACGUCAGCAGAUUCCAAGGACGACAGGAUGGAGCCCCAGGUGUCUUAGACAGCUCAGCCCCAAAGUGGGUGCUCCUGGGACAUCUAGUGGCCAUAGAGAAAAAUACUCCCACCGUGGGCCCAGGUGGCAAGGGAAGUCUAUAAGGGUGCUUAGAUACCAAGUGCAUUCAACCUCCCCACUUCUAGCCAGCGAUGGGAUCUCGUUAACGCUGCUCAGCCUGACCUCAAACUCCUGGCCUCAAGCAAUCCUCUGGCCUCAGCCUCUCAAAUUGCUGGGAUUAUAAUCCUGAGCCACUGCACCAGGCCUAUUCAGAAUUCUAAUAUGCAACUGAUUCUUAGUGAUAACCAAGAAAUAAAGACUUGGAGCUCAAAUUGUGCCCGAGGCCUGCGAUUCUUGAGAACCGUGCUUCCUCCUCCCUUUCUUCCAUUUGGAAUUGCGUUAAGCACAGAGACCCGAGGAGCCUGGACACAGCACAGGAUGCUGGUGUAAGAAGCCAAACCCUGCGUCCAAACACAGGGACUCCUCACCAGCUGGUAGGGCUUCAGUGCACGCAGAGGAAGCCAAAGGACUGGCAAGGUGCACAGAUGAGGUGGGAGGACCAGAGCCAGGACGUCUGAACCUGGUGAGGAGCUGCAGGGGUGGGCCGGGGCUGAGGAGGAGGAACAGGUGCCGGGGAACUCCUAGGACCCCAGGCUGGCGGCCACUGCCUCCUCUGUCCCUUGGGCAUCUCCCUCUGCCCUGCCCUGGAGAACAUAACUCUUAGCAGGCUCUUGCAGCCUAGACUUUUGAUAGCACUGCUGCCUCUGACUCCAAUCGCUACCACUUCCCCCCUAAAGCUCCCACCUCUGAAGAUUCGCCUCAUAUCAUCUCCUCUGUGUAAUCUCUUCUCAGCUUCCCCUUGCCCCUAAGUCCCCACCCCUCCAUCCCCAAACAGGGAGCAUUGUCUCCGCUGGCUCCACUCUACUAGACCAGCAGGGAGACGGAGGAAGCAUUUACUCCCUGGCUUCCUUCUAUGGACCACCCACUGGGCAUAAUCUCCUCCCCUAAGGGUUGGGUGUGCAUGAGUAUGUCCCAAGUGCCAUCGCCCAGGCAGGUGCAAGGAUGUGUGAAACUGGAGGCGAGAGCCUGGCAGGCUGUACCUGGUGUGGCUGAAAGGAGAUAGGGAGGGAUGCCAGGCAGUCCUUAAGAGGACCUGGGGAAGAUUCAUCUUCAACCCCAGACAAGGGUCAUUCACCUGAAAUGCCAGGACCAGGAAGUCCUGCCGGCUGCAGGCACAGCAUGUCCAACGUGAUUGGAAAUCACUUCCUGCUGUUCAUGUCCUCUUGGAAGGUCAGGUGGCCACUGCAACAAGGCCUUUGGGUUUAGACAGGAACUACACCAGCUCUCCCACAUCUCCAGGUUACAGACAGCAGAUCCUGUGCUUCUCAGCCUCCAUGAUCACGUGGACUUCUGCAUUCUGGCAAAUGAAUGACUGCACCUGACCCGUGACUCAUGACUCAACUAGUCCUGUGGACCCCGCCUUGAGGUGGACUCAGUGCACCAGGACCAUUUUCCACACCCCUACAAUUUCAUCCCCAACCAAUCAGCAGCACUCAUUCCCUAGCCUGCUGUUCACCAAAUUAGCCAUGAAACCCCUACCUAGACUAGCCUCUGAGUUCUGAGAGAGGCUGAUUUGAGUAAUAAAGUAAUAAACUCCUGUUCUGCUUGGCUAGCCCUGUUUAUUAAACUUGUUCUCUACUGCAAUA
rnacentral:lncRNA from 10 species